CCUACGGGUGGCUGCAGUGGGGAAUAUUGGACAAUGGGGGGAACCCCGAUCCAGCCAUGCCGCGUGUGUGAAGAAGGCCCUCGGGUUGUAAAGCACUUUCAGUGAGGAAGAACGCCUGGUGGUUAAUACCCAUCAGGAAAGACAUCACUCACAGAAGAAGCACCGGCUAACUCCGUGCCAGCAGCCGCGGUAAUACGGAGGGUGCGAGCGUUAAUCGGAAUUACUGGGCGUAAAGCGCGCGUAGGUGGCUUGAUAAGCCGGUUGUGAAAGCCCCGGGCUCAACCUGGGAACGGCAUCCGGAACUGUCAAGCUAGAGUGCAGGAGAGGAAGGUAGAAUUCCCGGUGUAGCGGUGAAAUGCGUAGAGAUCGGGAGGAAUACCAGUGGCGAAGGCGGCCUUCUGGACUGACACUGACACUGAGGUGCGAAAGCGUGGGUAGCAAACAGGAUUAGAUACCCUGGUAGUC
rnacentral:rRNA from 1 species